UUAAAGAAAGAUACGUUAAAAAAAACAAAAAAAACCCCAGGCGUACUUUUGUGAGGAGGAGAAAGAAAGAGAUCGUUAAUAGACGAUGAUGCCAGACUGCAUCCUCAGCACCGAAUAAAAAUAGGAGGACUGGACUUCCAGGAGGGUGUUCACUCUUCCAGCAAGCUGCGAGGCGGUUUCAGAGCUGCAAGAAAACAGGAAGGGUAUUUAGCACCAAAAAGAAGUGGCGAUGCCACGUCGAAGUGAAAAAGCAAUCAAUAAGAGCCUUAACGGAGCAGCACGAUACUUACACGGUUUUAACCAUGGAAGGUCUUUGUUAGAACAUGGGCCGCCUGUUGGAGAACUCAAGGGAUGAGAUGGAUGGGUCCAACCUUGACCUUCAGCUCCGGAGAGCCCAGUUAUACACUGGGGGAAGACUCACACACACCGCCA